rnacentral:lncRNA from 1 species
CCCAGCCCCUUCCCAGUCCAUACUGGGAGCCCUUAUCCCUUCCCAGUACGGACUGGGACAGCCCUUACCCUUCCCCAGUCCACACUGGGAAGCCUCCAGCCCCUUCCCAGUUCAUACUGGGAGCCCUUAUCCCUUCCCAGUACAGACUGGAACCGCCCUAACCCUUCCCCAGUCCACACUGGGAGUCCCCCAGUUCAUACUGGGAGCUCCCAGCCCCUUCCCAGUCCAUACUGGGAGCCUCUAUCCCUUCCCAGUAUGGACUGGGACACCCACCUCCCUUCCCCAGUCCACACUUGCCCCCCCCAGCCCCUUCCCAGUCCAUACUGGGAGCCCUUAUCCCUUCCCAGUACAGACUGGGACCGCCCUUACCCUUCCCCAGUCCACACUGGGAAGCCCCCAGCCCCUUCCCAGUUCAUACUGGGAGCCCCCCAAACCGACACUGGUGGGCAUCAGGUUUAUUCGCAUCAUCGGCACCUCACAGACCCCCGGAUGCCUCCCAGUAUGGGGGGGGUACUGGGAGGGGAGCACCUCCCAGUAUGGGGGUGGUACUGGGAGGGGAGGCAAUAAAUAAGGAAGGGGGGGGUUGGGCCAGGAACUGGUUUGUAGUGGUCCAUACUGGGAGAAACCGUAUGUGCAUUGAAACGCCAGUCAGGGUGCCCUACCAGUCCGUACUGGUCCACACUGGUCCAUACUGAGAGGACACAAGGCCACGGCGGGUGAAGAUAUCCCGGGCAAGACGGCUGUAACUGGUCCAUACUGGUUCCAUACUGGGAGGAGGCAAGGCCACGGCGGGUGAAGAGAUCCCGGUCGAGAUGCUGGAACUGGUCCAUACUGGUCCAUACUGGGAGGAGGCAAGGCCACGGCGGGUGAAGAGAUCCCAGGCGAGAUGCUUGAACUGGUCCAUACUGGGAAGACGCAAGGCCACGGGGGUGAAGAGCUCCCAGUUGGGCCGCCGUACUGGUCCAUACUGGUCCGUACUGGGACGGCCGAAGGCCGUGUCAAGGCAGUGGUCCCAGUUGGGACGCCGUACUGGUUUGUACUGGUCCAACCCAAGGCGAUGCACACGUGGGGCUCCCAGUUGGGCCUCCGGACUUUUUACUGGUCCAUACUGGUCUGGCCUGAGGCGACGUAGAUCCAAGGAGUUCCCAGCUGGGUCGUUGGUAAUGGUUCAUACUGGUCUAUACUGGGAUGCCCCCAAGGUGGGGGCGUUCCCCAGCACUGGGCUGUACUGGUCCAAACUGGGGCGUCUCCAGACCCAACGGUGGGGAUCUAUGGGGUUCUGUGGGGCCCAAGGGGUCCCCGAGGAGAUCUAUGGGUCCCUGAGGACAUCUAUGGGGUGUCCAAAGAGAUCUAUGGGUCCCUGAGGACAUCUAUGGGGUCCCCAAAGAGGACCUAUGGGUCCCCAGGAGAUGUUUAUGGGGUCUCCACAGCCCCACACGUCCCCACGUUGACCUAGGGCUCCCCAUGUUGACUUAGGGGUCUCCAAAGAGGACCUAUGGGUCCCCAAGGACGUCUAUGGGUCCCCAAAGAGGUCCUACAGGUCCCCAGGAGAUGUCUACGAGGUCCUCACAUUGCCCCACGCAUCUCCAUGUUGACUUAGGGGUCCCCAAAGAGGACCUACGGGUCCCCAGGAGAUGUUUAUGGGGUCCCCACAGCCCCACACGUCCCCAUGUUGACCUAGGGCUCCCGAUGGUGGCCUAGAGGUCCCCAGAGAUGUCUACAAGGUCCUCACAUUGCCCCACACAUCUCCAUGUUGACUUAGGGGUCCCCAAAGAGGACUUAUGGGUCCCCAAGGACGUCUAGGGGUCCCCAAAGAGGUCCUACAGCUCCCCACGAGAUGUCUAUGGGGUCCCCACAGCCCCACACGUCCCCAUGUUGACCUAGGGCUCCCCAUGGUGGCCUAGAGGUCCCCAGAGAUGUCUACAAGGUCCUCACAUUGCCCCACACAUCUCCAUGUUGACUUAGGAGUCCCCAAAGAGGACUUAUGGGUCCCCAAGGACGUCUAGGGGUCCCCAAAGAGGUCCUACAGCUCCCCACGAGAUGUCUAUGGGGUCCCCACAGCCCCACACGUCCCCACGUUGACCUAGAGCUCCCCAAAGAAGCCCCCCAGCUCCUCACCUGGCGUCCACGGAGAACCCACCUUCUCCCCCAUGUCCUCGGGGGGGUCCCAGCAGGCCC